rnacentral:rRNA from 1 species
GACGAACGCUGGCGGCGUGCUUAACACAUGCAAGUCGAACGGAAAGGCCCUGCUUUUGUGGGGUGCUCGAGUGGCGAACGGGUGAGUAACACGUGUGUAACCUGCCCUUGACUUUGGGAUAACUUCAGGAAACUGGGGCUAAUACCGGAUAGGAGCUCCUGCUGCAUGGUGGGGGUUGGAAAGUUUCGGCGGUUGGGGAUGGACUCGCGGGUUAUCAGCUUGUUGGUGGGGUAGUGGCUUACCAAGGCUUUGACGGGUAGCCGACCUGAGAGGGUGAACGGCCACAUUGGGACUGAGAUACGGCCCAGACUCGUACGGGAGGCAGCAGUGGGGAGUAUUGCGCAACGGGCGGAAGCCUGAUGCAGCAACGCCGCGUGCGUGAUGACGGCCUUCGGGUUGUAAACCGCUUUCGCCUGUGACGAAGCGUGAGUGACGGUAAUGGGUAAAGAAGCACCGGCUAACUACGUG